AAUUUAAAAAUAAUAUAUGUCUGAUUAAUUCUUGAUUAAUCUUUCCGAUUAACUCCCGAGAAGUGCGAGAGAGAAGAGAGAGGGCGAAAGAAAAUCAAAAAGCGAAAAAGGAUGAGAUUUGGAAGAGAUCUUCUUAAUGGGAUGAAGUUUGGGAAGAGACAUGACAAGGUAAUGUUUCGAUUGAAAACGAUUGGGUUUUAUGGAGUAUUUGGCACUUUUGUUUGGAUUGCAACCAGCAAGGAUGAAGAAGGAAACUACAAGGACCGUCUUCUAACAUGGCUCAAUGGCGAAUAAGUUGACUGAAAAUUCGGCGGUCCAGGACAUCAGCAAAAGCAUGCCUAGUUAGAUUUGUAAGUAAUAAUGGCUUAUUACUCCAUCUGCCAUCCAAGUUUGCUUCAAUAUGCAAGCUAACCCUUAAAGUUUAAAAACGACCGGUCCAGUCAUUCAAGUAACCUUUGUGUCUGGUACAACACUAUUCUUUAUUAAAACAAGUGCACCCCAUAUCGCAAUAAACUUUUUUCUUAAAUAA